rnacentral:lncRNA from 1 species
GGUGUGUGCCCUCAACCUUGGCAAAAUAAACUAUCUAAAUUAACUGAGGCCGGUCUCACAUAUGCCGGGUUCACAUUUUGGUAACCACGAAGGGAUUCUGAGUGGAGGUGCACCUGAUCUUUGACGAAGUUCCUAUCGGUGCUUGGUACCAGCAUGACCUAACCUUAUGGCUUAAACCAACAGGACAAAUUGCUGAGGUUUGGGAGCACACCCUCCAGAGGACCCCUGAUCUCCCAAAAUUUGGUUGAGAUCUAAAGUUUAUUUUGCUGUACAACUCCCCCCAACACCUUUUUUUUUUUUUUUUUUUUGUUUUACUUGCUUCCAACAAGGAAUGCAAGAUUUCUUGCUGAUGUUGGAAGGCAGGCUCCUUUAUGGAGUUUGAGCUCGCUCCCAGCAGGGAAGACGAGUUCAAGUGUUUCCUGCUUCAAGGAUGGUAGAGAGCAGUCUUCAGCCUGAGACUCAUCCCUAGGUAACCAGAGAUGACCUUGUACUGUGAGAGGAUUUGACCCUGGCAUGUGAAAUGGCAGAUGAGAGCUAGAAAGAAUUUUGUUCUUAUAGCCCAAGGUGGAGUUCAAUGGCACGAUCUCAGCUCACUGCAACAUCCGCCUCCUGGGU